rnacentral:rRNA from 1 species
UCCGUAGGCGGGCAAUUAAGUCAGAGGUGAAAUCCCACAGCUCAACUGUGGAACUGCCUUUGAUACUGGUUGUCUUGAGUUAUAGUGAAGUAGAUAGAAUAUGUAGUGUAGCGGUGAAAUGCAUAGAUAUUACAUAGAAUACCGAUUGCGAAGGCAGUCUACUAACUGUAUACUGACGCUAAUGGACGAAAGCGUGAGGAGCGAACAGGAUUAGAUACCCUGGUAGUCC